rnacentral:tRNA from 1 species
GGGGAGUUCUGCUAGCUUGGUAGGCUAUGUCCCUCGGGCGGACAUGACACGAGUUCAAAUCUCGUACUCCCCG